GGUUGUCGAAUGAUGUCAUCCAAUCCAAUAAAACAAGGAAAAUCUGAGAGUUAACUAGUGAUGUCACGAUUAAUUUGGAGCAUUGUCAUUCAUAAUUCAAUGAAGUAGUAACUGGAAAUCGAGUUAUUUGCAUACAUGUCAUGUGUGGAGAAAAAGCCUCUAGCUAUCCCAUCCAUCAUCUUAUUUCUCAAAUUUGUUUUACAAUCUGUCAAGUUUUUCAUACUUGUUUGUUUGUUUCAACUUCGUCCAAAACUCAAUCCCCCUUUACUUUAGUGUGUCUAAUUAGUUAGAAUCUGUUUUAAUUUGUGUUUUUAAAUGUUUUGAUUCAAGUAAAAGUCAAUUUUCAUCCAAAGUCAUUCCUAGUGUCUAGUUUAAGUUUAUUUAGUUGUUUUAAACUGUUUUGAGUAUUUUAAGUUUUCUUGGAGUCUUGUGAGUCUUGUUAAGUAUUUUUAAUUUUAGUUUUAUGUUUUUGAGUCAGUUUAGAGGUUAUUAGCAAGCCCUCCUAAUCCUCGGUCCAGAACGAUCCCUACUUAUACUUAUACUACAGUUGUCAAAAGAGGGUUAAAUUUGUGUUUUAAGAUAAUUUUCGCAUCAUAUUUCGAGCUUAUUAUCCUGCACCCCGGUGUUAGUGCUCCGCCUGAGGACAAGGCCUAGCCUUCACUUGAUCGUUCACCUCCCGCACCAAACACUCACCUUGGAUCCAAGGUAGGUGUCAACUUGUCGUACAGACCACUUUAGGUGGUUCCGACUCGUAGGUGACUUGCAAUACUUCGCACAGCCUUCACGUGACCAUAGCACUUAAGCGUAUUUAUUUACACCUAGCCUGUCGUACAAACCACAUUAGGUGGUUCCAACUCGUCUGCAGAAUUUGAUUGAUGAGUUGUGGACCCAACCGUACAGGUCACUUUAGGUGACUUCGGCUGGCAUACUAUUUCAUAUUGAUUUAUUGCACCUGGCUUACUUAUUUCUUUCUGAGAUUUGACAUGGUAUAUUCGUUGGGUUGUUACCAUGAAUAUGAUUUUGAGAUAUAAUAGUAUAUGCUAUUUUCUGGGAAUUAUACAGGUUUUACGACGAGGGGUUACUACUUUUGAUACAUGAAAUGGUUUUGAAAAACUUUGUUUUUGCCCACUCACACUUUCUGUUUUGCACCCCUCCAGGUUUUAGGUAUGAGUGCUCGUCGGUGGCUUACGAGGAAUUCUCAGCAGCUUUGACAGAUUAUCACUAAUGUAGGACCAUCUUUGGUAUUGUAUAAUUAGUAUUUGUCAUGCUGGAUUGCACUUAGGCUACCUACGCUCUGGUUAUGUGUAGUCACUUUUAAUAUCGCACUUUCACCUUAUCUCAUCUAGUGUUUUAGUCAGUUGGUUUUUAUUUAUUCGCAUUUUUUAUAUUAAUAUUACUUCCGCACUGUGCACAUGGCUACGUCACCCUCACGUGAUGACCAGCGUGCCUCGACCUAGAUCGGGGUGUGUCAAUUAGGGUUAGGGUUAGGGGUAUGCACAUACUAGAUUAGGGAUAGGGGAAUGUUGUAUAAUUAAAUUAUAGUUAUAUAAUUAAAAUUACAUUUAGUUUAAUUUUCUAAAUUAUAGU
rnacentral:lncRNA from 1 species